AGAUACCUUUAGAAUUUGGCACCAUUAUUAAUAUUAAUUAAAUGCAUCAAUAUUCAUCGAUAAAGUUAAUACUUAUUAGUUAGCCAUACGGUUAAUAAAAGAUAAUAAUUUAUGAAAAUGACGAUGAAUUAAUUAUUCGUUGAUAUAGUUUCACGCCCUUGUAGUUCGAUCUUUGAGCGGCGAGGAAUCGAUUUUCUUCUUAUUUAGAAGGGCUACUUGGCCAAAAAGGAUGACGAACACUUUUCUAUAUUUUCUUUGUAUUGAAACUUUGUGUAUUCCAACGAUGACGCAGGACUGGGAUUUAUUUUUCUGAUCAUUAUUGCCGCGGAUGAAAGAUACAUUUGGUUAACUCGGGAGAUAAUUUUGCGUCUUCGCAGGUUGAGAAAAACAACGAGGGGAUAAAGGUUUUGUUUAUUUUUAGCGGCAGUAAGUCAAGUUUGGAGGCACGUGUUUCUCACUUGAAAAUAGCCGAGCUGCUCAUGCCAAGAAUUCAUUAAAUCCCUGAAGCUACUCCUCUACAAUUUUCAAUU